rnacentral:tRNA from 1 species
GCUCAGUGGUAGAGCAGUUGGCUUUUAACCAAUUGGUCGUAGGUUCGAAUCCUACACGACCCACCA